rnacentral:rRNA from 1 species
CCUACGGGUGGCAGCAGUGAGGAAUAUUGGUCAAUGGGCUUACGCCUGAACCAGCCAAGUCGCGUGAGGGAUGACUGCCCUAUGGGUUGUAAACCUCUUUUGUCAGGGAGCAAUUGGCGCUACGUGUAGCGUUAUCGAGAGUACCUGAAGAAAAAGCAUCGGCUAACUACGUGCCAGCAGCCGCGGUAAUACGGAGGUGGCAAGCGUUAUCCGGAUUUACUGGGUGUAAAGGGUGAGUAGGCGGGAUUGCAAGUCAGAUGUGAAAAAUAUGGGCUCAACCGAGAGAGGGCAUUUGAAACUGAAGUUCUUGAGUGAUCGAGAGGCAGGCGGAAUGCGCGGUGUAGCGGUGGAAUGCAUAGAUAUCAGGCAGAACACCGAUGGCGAAGGCAGCCUGUUGGACAUUAACUGACGCUGAGGCGCGAAAGCGUGGGGAGCAAACAGGAUUAGAUACCCCUGUAGUC